rnacentral:rRNA from 1 species
UACAGAGGUCUCGAGCGUUAGGCGGAAUCACUGGGCUUAAAGCGUGUGUAGGUGGAUCGUUAAGUACCUUGUGAAAUCCCACGGCUUAACCGUGGAACUGCUUGGUAUACUGGCGGUCUUGAGCCAGCUAGGGGCUACCGGAACAAAUGGUGGAGCGGUGAAAUGCGUAGAUAUCAUUUGGAACGCCAAUGGUGAAAACAGGUAGCUGGGGCUGUGCUGACA